GUGUGAGUAGCUCAGUUGGAUAGAGCGUCGGUUUCCUAAACCGCAGGUCGCAGGUUCAAUUCCUGUCUCGCACA
rnacentral:tRNA from 1 species